ensembl:lncRNA
CCGGAACAUUUCUGGCGCUGAGAGAGCUCGGCGCUUCGAAUGCGCAGAUGCCAGGACUGUGUCGGCGCACGGUGGAGAAUGGCUAGACCUCGGAAGGAAGAUGGUUGCUGGUGAGGUUAGCGUACGUAGAAAAAGCGAGUGGAAUCUGAGUCCAGUCUGUAGAAGGCGGGGUGGGAUCCUGGGGACUUCAGAGCCCCAAACCUGCGGCAGGAGGAGACGGCGGGCUCUCGGUGAGUCGGCUCUUCACAUCAAAAUAUUGGAACUUCAGCAUCAGUUUUUCCAGUGAAUAUUCAGGGUUGAUUUUAGGGGCCUACCAAAAAGUCUUUUAAAAUCAGAAAUAAACAUUAAUUUUUGGUCAAAGGAAAUGUUUAAUUCAAAGAAACUCAUCUUAUUACUAUACCUAAAGAAUCACGAAAUACUGUUAUUUUUAUUUUCUGUUUAUUGAUGAAGUUCUAACACAGCCCCGCAUUGUACCCAAAUCAAAUCAGAUUUCAGUCCAGCCUUAUUCCUCUUCAGUGGGACUUGUGAAAACAGCACUGUACCUGCUGACCUUAGGUGAAACUGUGGUAAACUCUGACUUUCCCUCAUGUGAGUUUUCCAUGACCCCAGGAUGAAGUGGAACAUUUCCUUCCCCAGCUGUCUGGGCACCUUGAAAAUGAAGUUUGAACACAUAUUUUGGUCUCCUAAUAAAACUUCCCUCCCCAGACUCUUUGUAAAUAAGCAUUAAAAAGUUUGAGUGCUUUUGUGACUGUGUGUGAAUUAUAUAAUAUAAUGCACACUUUGAGGCCUGUGAGAUUAUGGCCUUAGUUACGAGAUUGUGUGUUUUUAUCUAUGCGUAUGACUUAAAAUGUGAUGCCUUGAAAGACAUGCUUUCAUUAUGUGGGCAUUUUAUGGAUAUUGUGAAUGUGGAUUACUUAAAAUAGGUUUAUUAAGUGUGAACAGGCUUAUUAAGUGAGAAACUACAUGAGAUGGAAAUAUGUGAUUCUGAUUAUAUGAACAUAGAACCCUGUGAUAUUAUGACUGUGUAUCUUGGUGAGUGACGAUAAGUUGCCUUACUCUUCUCAACAAUGAAUGAGAGGAAUGUUGCACCUUUAUGGACCAAUAACUUUAAGAUUUGGGUUAAAGGAUUUGCUAUUUAUUUGGCAAAUCAUUUGGAUAUUUUAUACUCUCUUCAGUCCAGUUCAGUUCAGUUGCUCAGUCGUGACCGACUCUCUGCGACCCCAUGAAUAGCAGCACGCCAGGCCUCCCUGUCCAUCACCAGCUCCCGGAGUUCACUCAGACUGACGUCCAUCAAGUCAGUGAUGCCAUCCAGCCAUCUCAUCCUCUGUCGUCCCCUUCUUCUUCUGCCCCCAAUCCCUCCCAGCAUCAGAGUCUUUUCCAAUGAGUCAACUUACCCUUAAAAAGAAGAAAUUCUGACACAUGCUAUAACACGGAUGUAUCUAGAGAACAUUGCAUUAAGUGAAACAAGCCCAUCACACAAAGAUGAAUACAAGAAAAGAAAACUGAAGACUAAUAUCUCUGAAAAACAUAGAUGCAAAAACUCUCAACAAAAUAUCAACAAAUUGAACUCAACAGAGUAUUAAAAGGAUCAUAUAUUAGGACCAGGACUUCCCUGGUGGCUCAGUGGUAAAGAAUAUGACUGCCAAUGCAGGAGACAUGGGUUUGAUCCCUGGGUUGGAGAAAGAAAUGGCGACCCACUCCAGUAUUCUUGCCCAGGAAAUCCCAGGGACAGAGGAGCCUGCCGGGCGAUAGGCCAUGGUGUCGCAAAAGACAUGACUUAGUGACUAAACAACACUAGCGACUAAACAACACUAGGACCAAGUGGAAUUUAUCCUCCGAUACAAGGAUGAUUCAACAUAUGCAGUAUGUACCACAUUACAUCACUUUAACAGGAUGAGAGAUAAAAAUCAUAGGACUAUCUCAAUAGAUAAAGAAAAAGCAUUUGACAGUACAUCCUUUCACGAUAAAAACUCUCAACAAAUUGGUAUAAAUGGAACAUAACUCAACAUAAUAGAAGCCAUAUACAGCGAACUCAGAGAUAACAUCAUACUCAGUGGUGAAAGGUUGAAAGCUUUUCCUUUACAAACAGAAACAAAACAAAGGUGCCCACUCUCACUGCUUCUAUUCCACAGAGUACUGGAAGUCCUAGCUGAGCAAUCAAGGUAUAAAGAAAUUAAAAGGCAUCCAAGUCAGAGAGGAAGAAAUAAAAUUGCCUUUGCAGAUACAAACAAAAGAGAUAUACAAAUACAUAUAUAUUUUCUAAACACUAUACAUCAAAACUGUUAGAACUCAUCAGUGCCUUCUGUCAAGUUGAAUAAUACAAAAUUAACAUACAAAAACCGGUUGC